UACGUAGGGGGCAAGCGUUGUCCGGAUUUAUUGGGCGUAAAGCGCGUGUAGGUGGCCAAGUAGGUCAGCUGUGAAAACUUGAGGCUCAACCUCAAGCUGUCGGUUGAAACCACUUGGCUAGAGUCCGGAAGAGGAGAGUGGAAUUCCUGGUGUAGCGGUGAAAUGCGCAGAUAUCAGGAGGAACACCUGUGGUGUAGACAGCUUUCUGGACCAUAGCUGACGCUGAGACACGAAAGCGUGGGUAGCAAACAGG
rnacentral:rRNA from 1 species